rnacentral:rRNA from 1 species
CUACGGGUCGCACCAGUGGGGAAUAUUGGACAAUGGGGGAAACCCUGAUCCAGCAAUGCCGCGUGUGUGAAGAAGGCCUGCGGGUUGUAAAGCACUUUCGGUUGGGAGGACUGCUUCUAGCACUAAUAUUGUUGGAAGUUGACGUUACCUUCAGAAGAAGCACCGGCUAACUCCGUGCCAGCAGCCGCGGGUAAUACGGAGGGUGCAAGCGUUAAUCGGAAUUACUGGGCGUAAAGCGCGCGUAGGCGGCUAGAUCAGUCGGGUGUGAAAGCCCCGGGCCUAACCUGGGAACUGCAUCCGAUACUGGUGAGCUUGAGUAUAGGAGAGGAGGGGGGAAUUCCAGAUGUAGCGGUGAAAUGCGUAGAUAUUUGGAGGAACACCAAUGGCGAAGGCAGCUCUCUGGCCUGAUACUGACGCUGAGGGGCGAAAGCGUGGGGAGCAAACAGGAUUAGAUACCCCCGUAGUC